UACGUAGGGUGCAAGCGUUAAUCGGAAUUACUGGGCGUAAAGCGUGCGCAGGCGGUUGUGCAAGACAGAUGUGAAAUCCCCCGGCUCAACCGGGGAACUGCGCGGGAAACUGCGGGGCUUGAGUUCGGGAGAGGGAAGCGGAAUUCCGGGUGUAGCGGUGAAAUGCGUAGAUAUCCGGAGGAACACCGGUGGCGAAGGCGGCUUCCUGGACCGACACUGACGCUGAGGCGCGAAAGCUAGGGGAGCAAACGGG
rnacentral:rRNA from 1 species